AGAGCGAACGCUGGCGGCAGGCUUAACACAUGCAAGUCGAGCGGGCGUAGCAAUACGUCAGCGGCAGACGGGUGAGUAACGCGUGGGAACAUACCUUUUGGUUCGGAACAACACAGGGAAACUUGUGCUAAUACCGGAUAAGCCCUUACGGGGAAAGAUUUAUCGCCGAAAGAUUGGCCCGCGUCUGAUUAGCUAGUUGGUGAGGUAACGGCUCACCAAGGCGACGAUCAGUAGCUGGUCUGAGAGGAUGAUCAGCCACAUUGGGACUGAGACACGGCCCAAAACUCCUACGGGAGGCAGCAGUGGGGAAUAUUGGACAAUGGGCGCAAGCCUGAUCCAGCCAUGCCGCGUGAGUGAUGAAAGGCCCUAGGGUUGUAAAGCUCUUUUGUGCGGAAGAUAAUGACGGUACGCAAGAAUAAGCCCGGCUAACUUCGCGCCAGCAGCCGC
rnacentral:rRNA from 1 species